rnacentral:rRNA from 1 species
UACGGAGGGGGUUAGCGUUGUUCGGAAUUACAGGGCGUAAAGCGCGCGUAGGCGGACCAGAAAGUUGGGGGUGAAAUCCCGGGGCUCAACCCCGGAACGGCCUCCAAAACUCCUGGUCUUGAGUUCGAGAGAGGUGAGUGGAAUUCCGAGUGUAGAGGUGAAAUUCGUAGAUAUUCGGAGGAACACCAGUGGCGAAGGCGGCUCACUGGCUCGAUACUGACGCUGAGGUGCGAAAGUGUGGGGAGCAAACAGG